AGCUUUGCACAGUGGCUAUAUCAUAACCAGUGAGGUUUAUCCGAGGUAUAGUUAUUGCUAAUUGAAAAGUGUCCUACUACAUGAAAAGAACUGAAAAUGUAGUUGACGUUGUCAAUGUUUGAGAGUCUCUGUGGAGA
rnacentral:snRNA from 1 species